GAUGAACGCUGGCGGCGUGCCUAAUACAUGUAAGUCGAGCGAACAGACGAGGAGCUUGCUCCUUUGACGUUAGCGGCGGACGGGUGAGUAACACGUGGGUAACCUACCUAUAAGACUGGGAUAACUUCGGGAAACCGGAGCUAAUACCGGAUAAUAUUUCGAACCGCAUGGUUCGAUAGUGAAAGAUGGCUCUGCUAUCACUUAUAGAUGGACCUGCGCCGUAUUAGCUAGUUGGUAAGGUAACGGCUUACCAAGGCAACGAUACGUAGCCGACCUGAGAGGGUGAUCGGCCACACUGGAACUGAGACACGGUCCAGACUCCUACGGGAGGCAGCAGUAGGGAAUCUUCCGCAAUGGGCGAAAGCCUGACGGAGCAACGCCGCGUGAGUGAUGAAGGUCUUCGGAUCGUAAAACUCUGUUAUUAGGGAAGAACAAACGUGUAAGUAACUGUGCACGUCUUGACGGUACCUAAUCAGAAAGCCACGGCUAACUACGUG
rnacentral:rRNA from 1 species